rnacentral:rRNA from 1 species
GACGAACGCUGGCGGCGUGCUUAACACAUGCAAGUCGAACGGAAAGUCCCUGCUUUUGUGGGGUGCUCGAGUGGCGAACGGGUGAGUAACACGUGAGUAACCUGCCCUUGACUUUGGGAUAACUUCAGGAAACUGGGGCUAAUACCGGAUAGGAGCUCCUGCUGCAUGGUGGGGGUUGGAAAGUUUCGGCGGUUGGGGAUGGACUCGCGGCUUAUCAGCUUGUUGGUGGGGUAGUGGCUUACCAAGGCUUUGACGGGUAGCCGGCCUGAGAGGGUGACCGGCCACAUUGGGACUGAGAUACGGCCCAGACUCCUACGGGAGGCAGCAGUGGGGAAUAUUGCACAAUGGGCGGAAGCCUGAUGCAGCAACGCCGCGUGCGGGAUGACGGCCUUCGGGUUGUAAACCGCUUUCGCCUGUGACGAAGCGUGAGUGACGGUAAUGGGUAAAGAAGCACCGGCUAACUACGUG